rnacentral:lncRNA from 1 species
AAGGAGAAAAAACCCUUAAAUGCUCACUCAUUUUUGUCCGAUGAGAAAGCUUCUUUCGUCACGCAAUCCCACUCGUGAAAUCACUUGAUUUUCCAAAUUCUCUAUCACCAAAAUUGUGGGGUCAUAUAUAAACUUGUGCACAUGAUCAGGGAGCCUCUGUAUUUUCAAUUAUCUCAUUAUCGUAAUUCUUAAUUUAUAGGAAACAUUUCCCAUCAUUUUCGUCUCAUAUUCUUCAUCAUGUGUCUACAACAAACAAAUGGGGUUAAAAGGCGUUUAUGAAUUUCUAGCAGAUUACGGAUGAAAAAAUCUAUUCCUAAAUCGUUGUAUAAGAUUCUUAUCAUCUUAUAUCCCUGUGACUGUGAAAACCUGCCAACACGCCGAUUUCUGCUUUGAAUAGAAUGUCUCAACCAAAAAAAUCCAUGGUCGCGUGCAUUCUCCAAAUUUGUGACAAAUAUC